UACGGAGGAUGCAAGCGUUAUCCGGAUUUAUUGGGUUUAAAGGGUGCGCAGGUGGUCAAAUAAGUCAGUGGUGAAAGUCUGCCGCUUAACGGUAGGAUUGCCAUUGAUACUGUUUGACUUGAAUAUGGAUGAGGUAGGCGGAAUGUGUAGUGUAGCGGUGAAAUGCUUAGAUAUUACACAGAACACCGAUUGCGAAGGCAGCUUACUAAUCCAUGAUUGACGCUGAGGCACGAAAGCGUGGGGAUCAAACAGG
rnacentral:rRNA from 1 species